rnacentral:lncRNA from 1 species
CUUCCUGAAACCUGCUCUGUUCUCGUGCUCCUCCUAAUGCUCUGGAGGAGCAAUGGAGACUCAGUGACUCAGACAGAAGGCCUGGUCAGUCUCACAGAGGGGUCACCUGUGGUGCUGAACUGCACCUAUCAGACUACUUACUCAGCUUCUACCCUGUUCUGGUAUGUGCAAUAUCUCAGUGAAGCCCCUCGGCUACUCCUGAGGAGCUCCACAGACAGCAAGAGGACCGAGCACGAAGGGUUCCACGCCACUCUCCAUAAGAGCAGCCGCUCCUUCCGUCUGCAGAAGCCCUCAGCACAGCUGUCAGACUCUGCCCUGUACUACUGUGCUGUGGAGACAC